GCUUCAACUUACACACUCAAUUGUUUGUUUUUCAACAGCUGUGGAGUGGCUGUUACAUCAGGUGUUGUUCUGAACACUUGGGUACAGCAAGAGUGAAACUAUGGCCAAUCCCUGUGUUUAUGGAGCUUACAUGAGGGCUGACUGCUGAACUACAAAUACCAUGCUUAGCUUCUAAAGCUGCAGGCUGGAAAAGCCACACCACGAAACGUUGGCAGAGGUCAGGCUUGUUUUGUACAGUUUGAGCUAUAUUCAACCGAGGACGGGAACUGUGGAGAGACGCUCCAAGCAAAGGUUUCUCUUUGAUGUUCACUGUGGGCACCGCUUAAAAUCAAACACCG
rnacentral:lncRNA from 1 species